GAUGAACGCUGGCGGCGUGCCUAAUACAUGCAAGUCGAGCGAACAGACGAGGAGCUUGCUCCUCUGACGUUAGCGGCGGACGGGUGAGUAACACGUGGAUAACCUACCUAUAAGACUGGGAUAACUUCGGGAAACCGGAGCUAAUACCGGAUAAUAUAUUGAACCGCAUGGUUCAAUAGUGAAAGACGGUUUUGCUGUCACUUAUAGAUGGAUCCGCGCCGCAUUAGCUAGUUGGUAAGGUAACGGCUUACCAAGGCAACGAUGCGUAGCCGACCUGAGAGGGGGGUCGGCCACACUGGAACUGAGCCCCCGUCCCGACUCCUACGGGAGGCCGCCGUAGGGAAUCUUCCGCCAAGGGCCAAAACCUUACGGAGCCACGCCGCGUGGGUGAUGAAGGUCUUCGGAUCGUAAAACUCUGUUAUUAGGGAAGAACAAAUGUGUAAGUUACUAUGCACGUCUUGACGGUUCCUAAUCAGAAAGCCCCGGCUAACUACGUG
rnacentral:rRNA from 1 species